GGUGGUCGGAUAGCUGCGCCGCGGAAAGUAAAAUCCGAGGGUGAGGAAAGUCCGGGCUUCAAGGGAACAAGGUACCAGAUAACGUCUGGCUGGAGAAAUCCAAGGGAAAGUGCCGCAGAAAAUUACCGCCGGAGUGCAUUUCCGGUAAGGUUGAAAAGGUGAGGUAAGAGCUUACCGCGUGGACAGUAAUGGGCACGGCAAAGGUAAACCCUGCCUGAAGCAAGACCAAGUUAGGAGGGCUUCCUUUAAUCGGGAAGUUACAUGGAGAGUUCCUAAUCCGCUCCAGAGGUAGGUCGCAUUGAGCCGCUUAGCGAUAACCGGCCCAGAUGAAUAGCUAUCCUUUCCGUUUUUGCCUCCGGGUAAAACUCCGGAAAGACAGAACCCGGCUUACAGACUGCCUGU
rnacentral:RNase_P_RNA from 1 species